rnacentral:rRNA from 1 species
GGGGAAUAUUGCACAAUGGAGGAAACUCUGAUGCAGCGACGCCGCGUGAGUGAAGAAGGUCUGCGGAUCGUAAAACUCUGUCCUUGGUGACGAAAAAAAUGACGGUAGCCAAGGAGGAAGCCCCGGCUAACGACGUGCCAGCAGCCGCGGUAAUACGUAGGGGGCGAGCGUUGUCCGGAUUUACUGGGCGUAAAGGGUGAGUAGGCGGUAAUAUGUGUCAGAUGUAAAAGGCUAUGGCUUAACCAUAGUUAGCAUUUGAAACUGUAUUACUUGAGUGCAGGAGAGGUAAGUGGAAUUCCUAGUGUAGCGGUGAAAUGCGUAGAUAUUAGCAGGAACACCGGUGGCGAAGGCGGCUGGCUGGACAAAUACUGACGCUGAGGUGCGAAAGCGUGGGGAGCAAACA